CAUUGGCUUAAAGCCACAACGCACCUGUAUUUGUUGGACCCGUUGCUCUCCUCUCCCGCCCAGCAUACGGUGUUUUGGGCCAGAUCCCCGGUGAAAGAACUCCUGCCCCUCUGCGCGGACAAGUGAGACGGUUUGGGCUCCGAUUCACGCCGCAAACGGCGCACACAGCGACAGCGACGGAGCACCGGCCGGCACCGGCUUCUCGAAGCGUUGGCGUUAUACAGGGAGCAGGCGUGUUCCUCUGCUGGCUGAAAGGAAUCCCUUCUUUGGAAGAGUGCGUCGAGUGUAACG
ensembl:lncRNA